UAGCUUGGUCGGUAAAGAAACUGCCUGCAGAGCAGGAGACCCAGGUUCAAUCCCUGG
rnacentral:tRNA from 1 species